AGGCCCUGCCUGCUCAAAUCGGACCCAGCACGUCCAGGCUUCUCCGAACCAGCAGUGACAGCUGAGGCCAUGUGAGUCUGAUCCUGAAUGAGGCUUUAUCUCUGGCUGUUCGUCCCAUCAUCCACUGUGGCACCAGCUCCCUCAGCCAGCCGGGAUGGAACAGGAGACUGAAAGAGCCAGAGCCAGAAAGGUGAUGGUAACCAUAGCCUGGACUGAGAGAAGAACGAGACUCUGGGCCUGGAGCUGCCAAGCAGGUGGUGGGGGCACAAGGCCAUGAGCUGUACCCUCUGACCCCUGACACCAACCUUCUGCCCUGACCC
rnacentral:lncRNA from 1 species